UUCGUCAUAUGUGACGCUGGACCAAUGGUUCAUGGAUGCAAACAGAAAUUGGCAAUCUCUGAGCGGAGCAAACACGCCAAGGGGUAGAGCAAGCCCGUCAAGGGACUCUGAUGGAUGAUAUGCACAUGAUGAUGCAACAUCUGAUGUUGCAAUUUCCGCCACCACAGUGAGCCGGUGUGAGUCCCUCUCUAUCUUAGAUUAAAACAUUGCGGAUAAUGUUUAGUUCAAGUGUGGUUUUUUUUUAUUAUUUAUUGUUUUUGUUGUUUGUUUUGUUCUUAAUAUUUUUGUUUUAAUUAGUUGUGUGGUACUCUAUGUGUUACAGAUAAAGGACAUUCGUGUCGGAUGAACGAUGA
rnacentral:lncRNA from 1 species